GGGUGAUUAGCUCAGCUGGGAGAGCACCUCCCUUACAAGGAGGUGGUCGCAGGUUCGAAUCCUGCACGACCCACCA
rnacentral:tRNA from 1 species